AUUGAACGCUGGCGGCAGGCCUAACACAUGCAAGUCGAGCGAGCGGCGGACGGGUGAGUAAUGUAUGGGGACUGCCCGAUAGAGGGGGAUAACUACUGGAAACGGUGGCUAAUACCGCAUACUGUCGGAUAACCCAUAUGGGAUUAGCUAGUUGGUGAGGGAAUGGCUUACCUAGGCGACGAUCCCUAGCGGGUCUGGGAGGAUGAUCAGCCACACUGGGACGGAGACACGGCCCAGACGCCUACGGGGGCAGCAGUGGGGAAGUUUGAACAAUGGGCGCAAGCCGGAUGCAGCAAUGCCGCGUGUGUGAAGAAGGCCUUCGGAUUGUAAAGUACUUUAAGUCGGGAGGCGUUACCAACAGAAGUAGCACCGGCUAACUCCGUGCCAGCCGCCGCGGUAAUAC
rnacentral:rRNA from 1 species